AUUGAACGCUGGCGGCAGGCCCAACACAUGCAAGUCGAACGGUAACAGGAAGCAGCUUGCUGCUUUGCUGACGAGUGGCGGACGGGUGAGUAAUGUCUGGGAAACUGCCUGAUGGAGGGGGAUAACUACUGGAAACGGUAGCUAAUACCGCAUAACGUCGCAAGACCAAAGAGGGGGACCUUCGGGCCUCUUGCCAUCGGAUGUGCCCAGAUGGGAUUAGCUAGUAGGUGGGGUAACGGCUCACCUAGGCGACGAUCCCUAGCUGGUCUGAGAGGAUGACCAGCCACGCUGGAACUGAGACACGGUCCAGACUCCUACGGGAGGCAGCAGUGGUGAAUAUUGCACAAUGGGCGCAAGCCUGAUGCAGCCAUGCCGCGUGUAUGAAGAAGGCCUUCGGGUUGUAAAGUACUUUCAGCGGGGAGGAAGGGAGUAAAGUUAAUACCUUUGCUCAUUGACGUUACCCGCAGAAGAAGCACCGGCUAACUCCGUG
rnacentral:rRNA from 1 species